rnacentral:misc_RNA from 1 species
GAUGAAGAACGUAGCAAAAUGCGAUAAGUAAUGUGAAUUGCAGAAUUCAGUGAAUCAUCGAAUCUUUGAACGCACAUUGCGCCCCUUGGUAUUCCGAGGGGCAUGCCUGUUCGAGCGUCAUUAUAACCCUCAAGCUCAGCUUGGUGUUGGGGCCUGCUGCAGUGGCAGCCCUUAAAAUCAGUGGCGGCGCCAUCUGGCUCUAAGCGUAGUAAUUCUUCUCGCUAUGGAGUCCUGGUGGAUGCUUGCCAUCAACCCCCAAUUUUUCUAUGGUUGACCUCGGAUCAGGUAGGGAUACCCGCUGAACUUAAGCAUAUCAAUAAGCGGAGGA